ACGGUAAAUAUGGAUUUUCCUUUAUGGGUUUUAUUUCAAAACUAAAUUAAGACUGCUGUUUCUUGUUGUUGUUCUUUCCUUCUCAUUCUGGCUUCUUUUCUUUGUCUUUCUCCCGGGGUAUUGUUGCUCUUUGAUGGUUAAUUAACCAGAAACCAGAAGACAAAUUGAAAGAUAGAUAGGGUGGGCGAACAGCGUGAACCUGAAGAAGAAUUUGAUUUUUUUUUUAAUUAUGAUAAUGAUUGAGAAAUGAAGAGUGAUUUUUCAUUUUAGAAGCUGAUAAAUGUUGGUUGAACAUUCUUGUCAAAUAAGAGAAAUUUCCAUGUGGUGGAAUGUAUGAAAAAACCCUGUUCCGUAGAAAGGGGGAAAACCCCAUUUGAGAGUAUGCAGAGAACAUUCAUUUGAUAAAAAGAAAGUUUUUUGUUUGUUUUUCUUUGGUUUUUGAUUUUGGGUGUUAGUGUUUGAUAAUGUCGUCUAAUACUCCAUCAGAGAUGCAAGAACCGAGCAUCGAUACGGAUAAGUUGAGUUAUGAAAUCUUUUCUAUACUGGAAAGCAAAUUUUUGUUUGGGUACGAUGACAAUCAGAAGCUAUGGAUUCCCAAACCGAUCUCUCCCCCGGCUUCGGAACCGAUGGUUCAACCGGGUGACGAGAAUUCCUUGCCAGCUAUAAAGAACCAGAGGGGUAAAAUCUGUAUUUUGAGUAUUGAUAGCGGUGGCAUGAAAGGAAUUCUUUCCGGGAAAGCGUUGGCUUAUCUUGAAAAAGCCUUGAAAUCCAAGUCGGGUAAUCCAAAAGCUCGAAUCGCCGAUUAUUUCGACGUCGCCGCUGGUUCAAGUGUCGGUGGUAUCUUCACCGCCAUGCUUUUUGCCACCAGAGAUAACAACCAACCGAUUUUCACCGCCGAGGAGACGUGGCGGUUCCUUGCUGAUAAUGGGAAGAGGAUCUACCGGUCCGGUGCGGGUAAAAACGGCGGUAUUCUAAAGAAGAUUUUGAAAAACGGUUCGACCGGGUCAAGUUCGAACGGUAUGGAGAAGGUCAUGAAGGAGGCGUUCACGGCGGGUAGAAGGAGUUUGACGUUGAAAGAUACACUAAAGCCGGUUUUGAUUCCGUGUUAUGAUCUUUCCAGUACGGCGCCUUUUUUGUUUUCGAGGGCCGAUGCUUUGGAGACGGAUAGUUUCGACUUCCCAUUAUGGGAGGUUUGUCGGGCAACCUCGGCUGAACCGGGCUUAUCCGGACCGGUAUUGAUGCAAUCCGUUGACGGUCAAACCAAGUGUGUGGCGGUCGAUGGUGGGUUGGCAAUGAGCAACCCGACCGUUGCAGCCAUUACGCAUGUGUUACAUAAUAAACAGGAGUUUCCUUUCGUUAGAGGGGUUGAGGAUUUGUUGGUGCUGUCAUUGGGGACGGGUCAGCUCCUUGAGGUUAGCUAUGAAUAUGAGCAAGUCAAGAAUUGGAGGCUCAAGGAUUGGGCUAAACCGAUGGCUCGUAUAUCCGGCGACGGUUCAGCCGACUCGGUGGAUCAAACCGUCGCCAUGGCCUUUCAACAAUGCAGAAGCAGUAAUUACGUAAGAAUUCAGGCAAAUGGGUCCAGUUUAGGAAGGUGUGGUCCAAAUGUAGAUACAGACCCUAGCCCCAGCAAUGUUAAAUUGCUGAUGGAGAUAGGUGAGGAAAUGCUGAAGCAAAAAAACGUUGAAUCAAUUCUGUUUGGAGGUAAAAGGAUUAGUGAAGAAAGCAAUAUGGAGAAAUUAGAUUGGUUUGCCGGUGAACUUGUUUUGGAACAUCAGAGGAGGAGUUGCAGAAUUGCUCCCACUGUUGCUUUCAAGCAACCCAGCCCUAAGAUCAACUAGGUUUCUCUCUCAACCAACACAGUUUGUGCCAUUUCUUGAAACCCAAAAACAACUCACAAAGGAAGAAGAAGAAGAAGAAGAAAGAUAGCACCUUUUAAUGAAACCAUGGAAUUGAAUUAAAGAAGAAAAAACACAUUAAAAAGGGUUUCGAAGAUAGUUUGGAUGAUGUUGUCCACUCCCAUCCUAUUUUUUCUCCCAAUCAAAACCCUUCAACAGUUGUUAAAACUAGCAGCAAUGGUGUGAAACUAAAUUGCAAAAAAUUAUAUAUUACCUACUUUUCUUUUUCUUUUUCUUUCCUUUAUGUAUAUUCUCAAGGGGCAAAAACAUGAAGGUCGAUUAUCUUGUCUUGUAAUCAAAAGCCAUGAAUAUAAGCCAAAGUUCUUUACUAGA